rnacentral:rRNA from 1 species
UACAGGGGGUGCAAACGUUGCUCGGAAUCAUUGGGCGUAAAGCGCACGUAGGCGGUUCGUUAUGUCGGAUGUGAAAGCCCCUUGGCUUAACCGAGGAAGUGCAUCCGAAACUGGCGAGCUAGAGUACUAAAGAGGAUCGCGGAAUUCCCGGUGUAGAGGUGAAAUUCGUAGAUAUCGGGAGGAACACCGGUGGCGAAGGCGGCGAUCUGGGUAGAUACUGACGCUGAGGUGCGAAAAGCGUGGGGAGCAAACAGG